rnacentral:rRNA from 1 species
AACGAACGCUGGCGGCAUGCCUAACACAUGCAAGUCGAACGAGACCUUCGGGUCUAGUGGCGCACGGGUGCGUAACGCGUGGGAAUCUGCCCUUGGGUUCGGAAUAACUUCGGGAAACUGAAGCUAAUACCGGAUGAUGACGUAAGUCCAAAGAUUUAUCGCCCAAGGAUGAGCCCGCGUAGGAUUAGCUAGUUGGUGAGGUAAAGGCUCACCAAGGCGACGAUCCAUAGCUGGUCUGAGAGGAUGAUCAGCCACACUGGGACUGAGACACGGCCCAGACUCCUACGGGAGGCAGCAGUGGGGAAUAUUGGACAAUGGGCGAAAGCCUGAUCCAGCAAUGCCGCGUGAGUGAUGAAGGCCUCGGUUGUAAGCUCUUUACUUCGGUACGAGUAAUAGACGGUACC